GGGGAAGGGAAUGGUUUUGGGAUAGAAGGGGGUAGGAUGGGAGGGGAGUAAAAGUUUUUGGGGUUUAGAGAGUAAAAUUUUGAGGGAAAGUAAAUGGGGAGAGUAAAAUUUUAGGGGAAAUAUUCAAAAAACAAAUCGGGGGAGGGGGAUGAAUUUGGGGUAGAAAGGGGGUGGGAUGAGAAGAGAGUAAAAAUUUUGGGGGAAAAGUGGGAGGGAG
rnacentral:lncRNA from 1 species